rnacentral:rRNA from 1 species
UGGGGAAUUUUGGACAAUGGGCGCAAGCCUGAUCCAGCCAUGCCGCGUGCGGGAAGAAGGCCUUCGGGUUGUAAACCGCUUUUGUCAGGGAAGAAAUCUUCUGAGUUAAUACCUCGGGAGGAUGACGGUACCUGAAGAAUAAGCACCGGCUAACUACGUGCCAGCAGCCGCGGUAAUACGUAGGGUGCAAGCGUUAAUCGGAAUUACUGGGCGUAAAGCGUGCGCAGGCGGUUUUGUAAGACAGAGGUGAAAUCCCCGGGCUCAACCUGGGAACUGCCUUUGUGACUGCAAGGCUUGAGUGCGGCCGAGGGGGAUGGAAUUCCGCGUGUAGCAGUGAAAUGCGUAGAUAUGCGGAGGAACACCGAUGGCGAAGGCAAAUCCCCUGGGCCUGCACUGACGCUCAUGCACAAAGCGUGGGGAGCAAACAGGAUUAGAUGCCCCUGGUAGUCCACGCCCUAAACGAUGUCAACUGGUUGUUGGGAAGGUUCCUUCUCAGUAACGUAGCUAACGCGUGAANUUGACCGCCUGGGGAGUACGGCCGCAAGGUUG